rnacentral:rRNA from 1 species
UGAGGAAAACGUCGGAAUCUGCCUAUUUGCGGGGGAUAACGUAGGGAAACUUACGCUAAUACCGCAUACGACCUACGGGUGAAAGUGGGGGACCGCAAGGCCUCACGCAGAUAGAUGAGCCGACGUCGGAUUAGCUAGUUGGCGGGGUAAAGGCCCACCAAGGCGACGAUCCGUAGCUGGUCUGAGAGGAUGAUCAGCCACACUGGAACUGAGACACGGUCCAGACUCCUACGGGAGGCAGCAGUGGGGAAUAUUGGACAAUGGGCGCAAGCCUGAUCCAGCCAUGCCGCGUGUGUGAAGAAGGCCUUCGGGUUGUAAAGCACUUUUGUCCGGAAAGAAAAGCUUAGGGUUAAUAACCUUGAGUCACGACGGUACCGGAAGAAUAAGCACCGGCUAACUUCGUGCCAGCAGCCGCGGUAAUACGAAGGGUGCAAGCGUUACUCGGAAUUACCGGGGGUAAAACGUGCGUAGGUGGUUUGUUAAGUCUGAUGUGAAAGCCCUGGG